AGAUUCCGUUUACGUUACAUCAUCGGUCUUUUAAAAGUAUGGUGCGCUCGAUCUAAGAUCCAAUUGCAACCAUCUGUUGUUCAUCAUAUCAGGUUGCGCGAGUCUGUAACGUGAAUCUGCCUUAUACUGAUAAAUUGUUACGACCUUCUUACAGUCGUUAAUUAGACCUACUUAAGCACCUUGUUUUAAUCUGAUCUCUUUACAGGCCGAUUCGAAAAUAAUAUGAACGAAAGUUCUCGUUAUCAGUUUCAGAUCUCGCUUAAUGAAACGUGUCUCGGCCACGCUUUAAAAUUAACGUAUCUUUAAAUUGAAACUGAUAAAUUACGCGAGAAGGUUAAACAACUUUUUGAUACUAUACCAUUUCCUUAGUGGGCUAUUUCGUUUACAUCGAAUCGCGGUAUUUACAAGGUCGAUCGGAUCCUUUUAUAGCUUUUCCUCUUGUUUCUCGUCCGAUGCUUUUUCGACGGUUUCGAAGAAGAUCUCUCGUUAGCCAACUGACUCCCAUGUAAUAUCGACCUUUGCCCCGUUCGAAUUCACGAUCGUGCCGUUCGUGGCACAGAUGCGGCAGCAACAAAGAACAGAGCGUCAGAAAUGCCGGUAUGCGCUCGAUUCUAAUAUUAGAGUUCGUAUGGGCCGCGUCUGAUCAGAAAAUUUCAGCGGCGUGGUUCGCAGUGUGUAGUGGGUCUACUGCACACGCAAACACGGGGAUAAUCAGCGCUAACUUGGCUCUAACUAUUCAUAGCACGUGCGCAAUGUCGUGCCCGGCACGUUGCCCAGAUCAGGCGUCAACUCGUAAUGCAGCCUCUGCUCUCUCGGUGCAUUUACCCAUACUACGUUGCAUGCUCGUGCACCGAUCGGCGCUGUAUUAUCGCGUUGAUCGUUGCCACGGUGCGAUUUGCUCGUUGGAUUUUACUCGUCGAGAGUAUUUACGAGACGCGAGACGCGAUAUCGCUCGGCACAGCGUUAAUCGUGCGUCAAAGAGUCGAUUUUUUGUAAUCGAGUUUUUAAGUUGGUUUAUUGAUGGGAUCAAAGUGGCAACGAUUGACAUCAACGGUGGCUCGGCGUAAUUACAGUUUAGGUACGUUCAGUGCAUUUCUCAGCGGGCCGACACCGCUAGUCCUGGCGAUCGUGCUAUUCUCACUGCGAUCACUUUCUUCUAGACAGAAAUGGCGAUGGAAAAGAUAUCAAGCAAACCCUUGGAAUUUUCUCCAACCAUAAUCUCCGGAAACAAAAUUCCAGGAUGUACAUUAACUGGGAAGAUUUCAAAUAAAACGUCGCAUUAAUAAUAUUGGUCUUUAACGAGUUAAAAGAAUAUAUGCAGAUAAUUUGAAAGAAAGGCUGCAAAAUUUAUUAAAUUAUUCUUCUAUGUAUAUAUACAUUAUUGUUGUUAUUAAAAUCCUAAAAAGAAAAGGUGAUAAAUAAGCCGGUAAGUUAUUAAAAUUAACAAUGUUCAAACCCAUACUCUCGAACUGUUCAAACCUUUAAAAAAACAAGGCUAAUAAAUUUGACCACCGCCGGAUAGAAAAAUGAAAGUAAAAGAGAGAAGAUAAUACGUUUACUCUGUUCACACAUACAUAUUCUCCAUAGGAUUGUCAAAUCUUCAUAAUGAAUUAACCGAUCCUCCCCAGUGAGUAGACGUUUUUAAAUGGCGAGCGAGUCUACCCUCUUGGUGGAUUAACAUAAAAAUAAAAAAUAAAAAAAAAAGCUACGAUGGAAAAAUGCAGAUCGUCGCGUUUUCACAGGAAAUUUGCAUGCGACGCGUAAAAUUUCUCUACGACCAAACGGCAACCACUCGGUUUCGCUGAAUUCGAUUCCCUUAUCAGUUUGAUCCCCUAUUUUCGCGUCGUGGAAAAUCAAGGUGAAGCGGGAACGCGGCUAGGGGAAUCGCGACACGGUGAUUUAAAACGGCAGAAUAGUCGAUGGCGAGUGCAGGGUCGUGGAGCGAGGAGGAAAGAAGAUUAUAAGUGUCGCGUUCCAUUUACUACUCUUCUCCUGUUUUAUCCAAAGAGGUUUUUUACGCUCGACUCGAGCUCCAGCUCCGGGCAAUAUCCAUAACAAAGUCCUUCAGUCCUUCUUGUCUGCUCAUUUUCCCAGAGACCCGUUAAAUAAAUCGCCCGUAAAAAAGAGACAGUUUGUUUUAAAUUUCGAGUAAAUUGGUGGAAAACCGUCCGUCCGUCGAUGUUACUUGUGAAAAUCGUUUACGUUUGCCGUUCGUUUUACCAACAGCAUAUACAUUCACGAUAAUAUCGAUAGAAAUUCCAUAUUUUUCCCCUUUCCUUUUUCAUAACGUAUUUGUAUUGUAUAUUUAUUGCAAACAAAAAAA